rnacentral:lncRNA from 1 species
UAAAAAAUAUAUUUUUCCAUUGAAAGCACUUUUAGUAUUAUCAAAAGCACUUCCGCAGAUGCCUUAAUUAGUAAUUUAGCAAAUGGUGUGAAUUAUGCAAAGGGAUAAAGUUUGCACCGACUUUUAUUUUUUGCUUUCCAAUCAAAAGUUUGGACCAAUUAGCCAUAGAUUCAUUCUACAGCGAUCCGAAACGCAUCAUUUGUUUUUAUUGUUGGGGUGGGGGUGGUGUGUGUUUGGUUGCACACACUUGUAAUAAAAAACGGACAAAAAAGGAUUAGGCUGGAAAUUAAUUAUUGUUAGUUACACUUUAAAAAUAAUCAACUGUAAAGACUGAAGAGAAAUAGUUAAGUGUUUGAUAAAUUUUAUUUUUAUAAGUACUGUGAAUUAAGAGAAAAUAAAUGAUUAAAAUGUACAUAAUAUAGAUAAAAUUUACUUACACAUAUAAAAACAUGUACAUACAAUAUUUUUAGUGUAUUAUAAUAAUUUUAACUAAUAAUAAAGUAUACACACACUUGCAAUUAGUUAUUUACACUUCUAAUUUUUGUAACUAACUAAAUUAUAUAUAUUGUGAAAUGUCAAAAUUUGAUUAAGUUUAAUGAUCUAAAAUCAGAAUUGACGUAGCCAAAAGGAACACUUUAAAUGGGUGCAGUUGGCAUUCGAUUGAGUUUUGAGAGUCUUGAGAGCGGGGCCACAGAAAGCAGAGUCGAUGGGGAACCAAAAGUAAAGAUUGGCCCAGCUCAAAAACUUAUUGGGCUUCAUUCUUCUUAAAAGAGGAGUAUGACUUUUGGCACGCCUGAAAAUUCCUUCCAAAACCCUUCUUUAAUGGAAAAUAACCUAACACAUUAAUUAAUUUUUUCCUUUUAAAUGGAUAUUCAA